rnacentral:lncRNA from 1 species
UGGAAAGCAUAUCUAGCGCCAGCGGACAAGGACAGAAGGGAGACGACACCACAAUGCGCUAACAUCCAACGCUCUCUUUCCUUGCUCGCUGGCUGUCAAU